CUGGGGACAUAAGACCUACACAAAAACACACCAUCCAUAGUACUGGGAAAUAGAUGAGUGAUAUAAAUAAUAAGGUCAAUAUAAUUUGGGAAAGAGCUCAGUAAAAGAAAAUGAGCGGAACAAGCAUUUUAGGUUUGAAGGUGAAGAAGCUGGCAAAUUGAAAUGUCAACAGACGCAUAUAAAACCCUAACAAAAGCCUCUGUAGCCAAUAGAACAAGAAAGGAGUAGACUAGCAAGGCAGAAAACUUUUGGAAAAUAACUCUUCUGCUAUAUUCAAUCUGGGAAAAAAAAAAAACACAACACUGGCUCCACCCAACGAUGAUAACAAAGGCCCAGUAAGAAACCUUGACCACCUCUAAUAUAGAACCUGAAGCUCCUACCUACCAGAAUUAUUUCAGAGGAGGCCAAGUAGAAAACCAUGUCUUUCAUCUCUACCAUCCAAUAACAAGCCUACACCUUGCAGUGUCAGUAGAGACACAUGGGGAACUGGAACUCUUAAGCUCCCAAUCCCACCAAGCAGUAAUGAAGAGCUUUCCCGCACCAUAUGUCAACAGAGCACACUGUUGUGAGGACCCCGUACCACUUCUUCUAUCCAGCGGUAACAAGGGAGAUCUUUCCCUGCUGAGGUGUUGUCACAUAAAUCCAGCUAAAACAGGUUUAAAGAACACACAGAGUCUCAUGAUACAAAACUGUCCAGAUAUCAGUUAAAAAAUACUUGUCAUACCACGAACCAAGAUCUCAAACUGAAUUUUAAAAAGGAAUUCAAAAAUGUCAUUACCAAGGUGACAGAUUUGUUAGAAUUACCUGACAAAGAUUUAAAGUUGCCAUGAUAAAAAUGCUUCAACAAUUACCAAAAAAAGCUUGAAACAAAUGAAGCAAAAGAAAACUUCAGCAAAAAAAAUCAAAUCUCAGCAAAAAACAUAAUAUAUUAAAAAAUGGAAAUUUCAGAACUAAAAAAUAUCACCUCAAUAAAAUGCUCAGUAGAUGAGAUCAACAGAAAGAUGGAAGCAAAGGGGGAAAAAUAUAAGUGAAUUGAAAAAUAAAACAAAAUACAUUACACAAUCUAAACAUAGAGAUACAAUAAACUAGAAACAUGAAAUGAACAGAACCUCAGGGACUUUAGGGAAUAUAACAAAAAACCUGACUCAGUUACCACCAGGGUCUGAGAAGGAGAGAGAAAAGCGGGUAGGACUAUAAGUAUACUAAAAUAAAACUGGCUGGAAACUUUCCAAAUUUGACACAAAAACCCCAUAAAACUACAGAUUCAAGAAUCUGAAAACUUCAUACAAGAUAAGCCCAAAGAAAUUAAUCCCAAAACACAUCAAAAUGGAACUUUUGAAAACUAAACAAGGAAAAAAAAACUCUUAAAGGCCCUUAGGGAAUGAUAUGGUUUCGCUCUGUGAUCCCACCCAAUCUCAUCUUGAAUUGUAAUCCCUAUAUGUCAAGGGAGGGACCUGGUAGGAGGUGAUUGGAUUAUGGGAGUCGUUUCCCCCAUGCUGUUCUCAUGAUAGUGAGUUCUCAUGAGAUUUGAUGGUUUAAAAGUGUUUGGCAGCUCCCCCUCCCCACCCACCACCUCACUUUCCCUCUCUCUUGCUGCCACGUAAGACAUGUCUUACUUCCCCUUCACCUUCCACCAUGAUUGUAAGUUUCUUGAGGCCUUCCUAGACAUGUGGAACUGUGAGUCAAUUAACCCUCUUUCCUUUAUAAAUUACCCAGUCUCAGGAAGUUCUGUAUAGCAGUGUGAAAACAGACUAAUACAGAAAAUUGGUACCGGUAGUGGGGCACUGUUAUAAAGUUAACCUGAAAAUGUGGAAGCUACUUUGGAACUGGCAAACAGGCAGAGGCUAGAACAGUUUGGAGGGCUCAGAAGAAGACAGGAAGGUGUGGGAAAGUUUGAAACUUCCUAGAGACUUGUUGACUGGUUUUGACCAAAAUGCUGAUAGUGAUAUGGACACUGAAGUCCAGGCUGAGGUGGUCUCAGAUGGAGAUCAGGAACUUACUGGGAACUGGAGUAAAGAUCACUCUUGCUAUGCUUUAGCAAAGAGACUGGCAGCAUUGUGCUCCUGCCCUGGGGAUCUGUGGAAUGUUGAACUUGAGAGAAAUUAUUUAGGGUAUCUGGUAAAAGAAAUUUCUAAGCACCAAAGCAUUCAAGAUAUGAUUUGACUUUUUCUGAAGCAUACAGUCAAAUGCAUUCACAAAGAGAUGAUCUGAAAUUGGAACUUAUGUUUAAAUGAGAAGCAGAGUGUAAAAUUUUGGAAAAUUUACAGCCUGGCCAUGCAGUAGAAAAUAAAAUCCCAUUUUCUGGUAACAAAUUCAAGCUGGCUGUAGAAAUUUGCAUAAAUAAUGAGGAGUAAAAUGUUAAUAGCCAAGACAAUGGGGAAAAUGUCCUAGAGAAAGACAGAUUUUCAUAGCAGCCCCUCCUAUCACAGACCUGAAGGCCUAAAAGGGAAAAAUGGUUUUGUGGGCCUGGCUGAGGGCCCUGCUGCACAGUGCAGUCUCAGAAAGUGUCACCCUGUGUCCCAGCUGCUCCAGCUCCAGUUGUGGUUAAAAGGGGCCAAGGUAAACCAGGCACGGUGGCUCAUGCCCGUAAUCCCAGCACUUUAGGGGGCCAAAGCAGGCAGAUCACGAGGUCAGGAGUUCAAGAUCAGCCUGGCCAAAAAUGGUGAAACCCCAUUUCUACUAAAAAUACAAAAAUUAGCUGGGCAUGGGGGCACAGAUCUGUAAUCCCAGCUACUUGGGAGGCUGAGGCAGGAAAAUCACUUGAAUCUGAGAGGCGGAGGGUGCAGUGAGCCAAGAUUGCGCCACUGCACUCCAGCCUGGGCAACAAAGCAAGACUCCAUCUCAAAAAAGGAAAAAAAAGAAAAGGGGGGGCAGGUGCCAAAGUAUAGCUUGGGCCAUUGUUCCAGAGGGUGCAAGUCUCAAGCCUUGGUGGCUACCAUGUCAUGUUGGGCUUGCAGAUGCACAGAAGCCAAGAGUGAGGAUUAGGAACCUCCACCUAGAUUUCAGAGGAUGUAUAGAAAUGCCUGGAUAUCCAAGCAGAAGUCUGCUGCAGGGGUAAAGCCCCAGUGGAGACCCUCUACUAGGGCAUUGCAAAAGGGAAAUGUGGGGUUGGAGUCCCAGUACAGAGUCCCCACUGGGGUACUGUCUAGUGGAGCAGUGAGAGGAAGGCCACCGUCUUCCAGACCCCAAAAUGGUAGAUACAUUGACAUUUUGCACCAUGCACCUGGAAAAGCCACAGGUAGUCAAUGCCAGUCCACGAAAGCAGCUACAGGCACUGUACCUGCAGAGUCACAGGGAUGAGGUUGCCCAAGGCCUUGGUAGCCCAACUCUUGCAUCAGUGUGCCCUGGAUGUGAGACAUGGAGCCAAAGGUGUUUAUUUCAGAGCUUUAAGAUUUAAUGACUGCCCCUCUGGGUUUCAGACUUGCAUAGGGCCUGUAGCCCCUUUGUUUUGGCCAAUUUUUUUUAAUGGGAUCAUUUACCCAAUUCCUGCACCCCCAUUCUAUAUUGGAAGUAAGUAACUUGUUUUUGAUUUUACAAAUCCUUCUUAGGCGAAAGGAACUUGCCUUGUCUCAGAUAAAAUUUUGGACAUGGACUUUUGAGUUAAUGCUGGAAAAUGAGUUAAGAUUUUGGGAGAUGGUUGAGAAGGCAUGACUGUGUUUUGAAAUGUGAGAAGGACAUGAUAUUUGGGAAGGGCCAGGCGUGGAAUGAUAUGGUUUGGUUCUGUGUCCCCACCCAAAUCUCAUCUCAAAUAGUAAUUCCCAUAUGUCAAGGGAGGGACUUGGUGGGAGGUAAUUGGAUCAUGAGAGCAGUAUCUCCCAUGCGGUUCUCAUGAUAAUGAUUUAGUUCUCACAAGAUCUGAUAGUUUAAAAGUGUUUGACAGUUCUCCCCACCUCAUUCUCCCUCUCUCCUGCUGCCAUGUAAGAUGAACCUUGCUUCUCUUUCGCUUUCUGCCAUGAUUGUAAGUUUCCUGAGGUCUUCCAAGCCAUGUGAAACUGUGAAUCAAUUAAACCUCUUUCCUUUAUAAAUUACCCAGUCUCAGGUAGUUCUUUAUAGCGGUGUGAAAACAAACACGUACAAGAAGAAAUGACAAUUUAAUUAUAUGAUAAAAACAAUUUGAAUGUUGGCGGAUUUACAUGAGAAACCAGAGAGGCCAGAAGGAAGUAGCACAAUAUUUUUCAAGUGUCAAAAGAAAAUAACUGUCAACUCAGAAUCUUAUAACCACAAAAAUAUCCUUUAUCUAUGAAGGAGAAAUCUUUUAAAACAUUUUCAGAAGAAAGAAAACUAAAAUGACUUAUUACUAG
rnacentral:lncRNA from 1 species